rnacentral:rRNA from 1 species
GACGGAGGAUGCAAGCGUUAUCCGGAAUGAUUGGGCGUAAAGCGUCCGCAGGUGGCAGUUCAAGUCUGCUGUCAAAGACCGGGGCUUAACUUCGGAAAGGCAGUGGAAACUGAACAGCUAGAGUAUGGUAGGGGCAGAGGGAAUUCCUGGUGUAGGCGGUGAAAUGCGUAGAGAUCAGGAAGAACAUCGGUGGCGAGGCGCUCUGCUGGACCAUAACUGACACUCAGGGACGAAAGCUAGGGGAGCGAAUGGG